CCAUUUCCCUUUUCCCUUCUUGUUUCCCUGCCUAUAUAAGUAAGGCGCGAACCCACGCAACUGGGAGGCAGUGAAGUUUCGAACAAGCAAGUCUAGUUUCCUUGCCUGUGUGGCUCCCCUCGGUCGCAAGCCCCCGUCGCCCCGGUGGGGUUGGUCGGAGGACCCCGCUGCUCGUGGUUAAGAGCCCCGCCAUCUGUCCGUCGCGGCUUCUGCGCCGCCGCUGCCGCCAUCAACCGGUGCCGCAGUCCCUGUCUGUUGCCACCGGUCCGCCACUGUCGCCGCCUCCGCCGGCGCCCCUCCGCCGGCUGCAGUCCUCGCCAGCGCCCCUCCGCCGUCGGCAACCGCUGCCGGCGCCCCUCCGCCUCCUGCCGCCGCUGCAGCCGUAACUGCCCCGUCGGGCUGGUAUUUCCCAAAUUAGGGCUUAAACGCCCUGGUUCGCGGGGUACUGGGCGCCAGAACCAGCCGGUUCGGAUCCACCCUCGCCGGACCGGCCUCGUCUGGGCCAGCCCAGGCCGGCUCCAGCCCCUUUGCCUGAACCGGUUCGAGCCGUCGACUGACCUGGUCCGCACCGUCUGUCCGAGCCAAGGCUCGGCCAGCCGCCCACGACCUGGUCAGCGGGAAACCUUAGUCAACGGUCACCAAUCACUUCUGUGCCCCAUGGCCUCUCUGGUGACUCUUUCCACAGCCAAUACAUUACACUCAUGUUACCUGUUCUUUUAAUAUGUUCUUGUGAUCGUCGCCAAGUAAUCUUAUAGGUUAGUCGCUUUUGAUAUUGAGUGAUCCCUUACCCUUGAUUUCGUCACAUCUGUUUUACUAGAUUUUGAGCAUCCUAUGGUUGGCCGUUUGCAUAAAUCGCUUGGUCCUCACCUGCUGUCUUAAUUGAGGAUGAUUUUUGAGCUGCUUAUGACUUCCGAAAUUUCCCCGUCUCGAGUUCUUUUGGACAUUACGUGUGAUUUCUGAUUUCGUUCAUUUGAUCAUCAUUAUGCCUCAUUUUUCAUUCCCAUCACCCGGUUUGAUAACAGGCUGGGAUUAAGUACGUUAACUUGGUACGAAUUCUAGUUGAUCAAACUUUCAGUUUGAUGACAACCUUAUUCCUCUGGUAGGUUGACCUAAGCUUUUAGGUAAGCAGCUGAACUGAAAAUAGUAAUUGGAUGGGUUUCAACCAUUCGUGCCUUUGGGUUGAAUAAGUUAAGAGAUUAUAUUCGAGUUCAUCCCAACCAGGCCUGGGACGUUUCUUCUUAACCGGCCAUCCGAACCAAUUAAACUCGGACAGCAGGGUCAUCUGGGAUAAAUUCAGAUUGCCUAGCAUGAUCGGGAUUCUAGCCAAUUGUCAUACUGCUACAUAUACCCAUGACCGUGCACCAAUUAUCAUACUUGGCUGUGGACACAAACAGUUCUCUGGAAGAUUGAAAUUUGAAGCCCUGCUUCCUUUCUAGCUGUUUGAGGACGGUGUGCUCGAUGUAGAGGACAGGACUGGAUGGAGGGAUAGAAGCACCCACUGCAGUGAUAUUGGGACAUUCGGAGGCAAGGGCUGAGGUCGACGCUUGUGCAGGAAACCAGUUGUUGUCGAAUGUGAGCUGCACAUCUGAGAAUUGGGAAAUCUCGACCACACUCAUCGUCCAGUGGAAUCCAGCCCAGAGGUGGAGGUGCUGACGUACUCAGCAAAAUACAAGGCAAAUGAGACAAAGCUACCUAACCUCAGCCAUUCCCAAUCUGCAGGGGAUGAUGUUGUCGACUAACUGAAUUAUCACCACUCUAGAGCACUGCUGCAGUCGGUUGAUGACGAGGUGUGAUGGCAUGCUGCGCUUCACGUUGGUGGUGCUGCUUUUGGCAGUUCUGCGGCAUUUUUUUGUAGCGGAGUUCUUCUGGCCCGGGUUGGGCAUCCACAGGUGGAUGCUGCAACCCACAGGGCAACAGCAGAGUUGCCCAAGAUGAGCUUGACAGUCCAUGGAUUCUGGAUUUCUGCUAGGAACGCAAAGAUUGGGUAGAGCGUGUCCUGGUUGUCCUUCAUUGGCUAGUUGUUGGUGAUGGCCUUCCAACCCCCAAUUCGGAGAAUCGAUUGGGCAAGGUGGCUGACAAAGGUCAGAUCCUUGGCGAUGAAUCCUCUCCACUCGGUGGCUAUCAUACACCAUAAGAUUGUACGAGCAUGAUCGCGUUUCAUUUUUUCCCUUCCAAAUAGAUAAUAGCUUAUAUCGUUGAUUUCCAAACUAUUUUUGGUCUCAUCAGCAGCAGCUAAGGGCGUCACUUUAAGGGUUAACAUAGAGAAGAAUGUGCUUAGGUUUUGUCUACCAUCUACCCACGGCAACGAAUGCCAUGCCGGUUAGUGAAGGGAGGGGUGAGUAGAGAAGACUGUUUAUCAUGCCCUUCAAUGGCCCAAUAAUGGGCAGGUCAAACUAGAAAAGAGAAUGGUUCAGUUAAACCGUUUUAGCUUGACGUAGUAAACGGUUUGCACGUUUUUGAGGAGUCACUGACACAUUUCAUGAGGCAGUUCAAUGAGAUCUAUAAAUAGAGGCCACCUCUUCUCAUUUUAUAGCACUAGUGACCAGAGGGUACUAGAGAGGUCAGGAGAGGGUUACCAAUGAAGUGAUCUUUACUUGUUGGUGAGGGACUAACAGAUUUUUUGAGGGCCAAGAUUAGUGAUAUGUAUUCUAGGUUUAAAAGAGUGAUUUUCUAUACUUCUAUAUCUAGUGAAGAUUUUUUUCACCAUUCAUGAACGUAGAAGAUUGACCUCUAAACUAUGUAAAUUAUUGUGUCUCUAGUUGUGAGUUGUUUAUUUCAUUUAUGUCUUUUAGCUUUUGUGCUAAGUUUAUAUUGGGUUUUUAUCUCUAACAAGUGAUAUUAGAGUUGUGAUUCUUGUUAAUGACUAUGGAGACAUGAGAUAUUUCUCGUAUGAUCAACUUGAAUGAGAAUAACUAGACAAUAUAAAAACUAAGAAUAAAAGGUCUAUUGCAUUGCAAUGACUUAUAUGAAGCCUUACAAGGAGAUAGUGCAAAGGUAGGGGCGACAUCAGUUGAUGAUUAGAAAAGGCUAGAUUUAAAGACUAUUGACUUCAUCAGACAAUGGCUUAAUAAUAAUAUUUUUCACCAUGUAUCUACUGACAACUUUACACAUUUUCUUUGGAAGAAGCUAUAAAGUUUUUAUGAGAGAAAGAUGGUAGGUAACAAGGCAUUAUUGAUUAAGAAGCCUAUGAAUCUGAAGUACAAGAAGAGAUCUUUUAUUAUUGAGCAUUUAAAUGAAAUACAUAGUAUUAUUAACUAGUUGACCUCUAUGAAUAUAUGUUUUAAUGAUGAGUUGUUGACUUUGUUAUUUCUUAGUUUGUUGCCAUAUAGUUGUGAGAUGUUGGUGGUGUAUCUCAUCAAUUUUACCAGAUGAUAUUUUCACUAUGAGCCAAGUAACAAAUAUCUUACUCAAUAAAGAGUUGAGACCAGAAAAACUUUACUAAUUCUUAUAGUGAGGCACAAACAUUUGUCACAUAAAAUAGAGGGUGGUCAAAGUCAAGAGAUAAGAGUCACUCCAAAGGUAGAAACAAGUCAAGAUCAAGGAAAGAGAUCACUUGCUACAACUGUGGUGAAAAAAGACACUUCAAGAAUAAGUGCAAGUAGCCCAAGAAAAAUAAAAAAAAAAGUAGACAAUGAAGAUUCAAAAGGGAACACCAUGGCCACUAUUUAAACUGGUGAUUAUUUGAUUUUGUCUAUUGCUAAUGAUAUUUUUCUUGUGUUGGUAAAGAUUCAUAAUGAAUCAUUGAUAUAGGAGUCUCGUAUCAUGUAGUACCAAGAAAGGAGUCCUUUGCCAACUACAAAGCUAGAAAUUUGGGUGUUGUUAAGAUGAGCAACAAAAAGACAUCAAACAUCAAUGGUAUCAGUGAUGUCCACAUCAAGACCAAUUUUGGCUAUGAAUUGGUGCUAAAAAAUGUGAGACAUGUGACAAGUUUAAGAUUGAAUUUAAUUUUAGUUAGAAUGCUUGAUGAUGAUGACUUUUAUGACAAGUUUAGUGCAUGCAAUUGAAAGAUUACUAAGGGUUCACUUAUUAUAGCUUUUGGAAAGAAUUAUAAUACCUUAUACAGAAUGCAAGUUGCUGGUUGUAGCGAUCAGAUAAAUGUUACAAAAAAAGAUUAUAGUAUUAAAUUGUGACAUAAAUGACUAUGACAUAUGAUGAGAAGGGAUUACAAGCCCUCUCAAGAAAGGAAGUCUUACCCAAGUUCAAAAAUAUUUGUUUGAACCCAUACAUUGAUUGUUUGGCAGACAAAUGACAUUGAGUUUCUUUUUCUAGUCUACUUUUGUUUAAAAAAUUACAUAUUUUUGGAGUGAGUCUAUAUAGAUGUGUGGUCUAUUGAGGACAAAGACUGCUGGUGGUGUUAUUAAUGUUUAUGGCAUUAAUAAUGUAUUAUAUUUUAUCACUUUCAUUAAUGAUAAUUCCAAGAAAGUUUGGGUGUAUCUUUUGAAGACUAAAGACCAAGUUGUUGAUGUCUUUAAAGAAUUUCAUGUUAAAGUGGAGAGGGAGACUGAUAGAAAGUUGAAAUACAUAAGAUUUGAUAAUGGUAAUGAAUACAUGUGCUUGUUUGAUGAAUAUUAUAAAAAAUAAGAUAUUAUUCAUGAGAUGAUAGUUUCAAACACUCCUUAGCACAAUGUAGUUGCAGAGAUGAUGAAUUGCAUAAUUAUGGAAAAUAUCAGGAGUAUGCUUUCACAUGUCAAAUUACUUAAAAGGUUUUGGGAUGAGGCAUUGAAGACAACUAUUGAUCUCAUUAAUUUAUAUCUAUGUAUGUCUUUAGAUGAAAAUAUUGCACAUAAUGUAUGUACAAAAAAAAAUAUUUCCUACAAGUACUUGAGAGUGUUUGUUUGUCGUACAUUCGCGCAUGUUCUUGAUAUGGAAAGGUUUAAAUUGAAUGGGAAGAUAAAAGAGUGUAUUUUUCUUGGAUACCUAUGUGACGAGUUUGGUUACAGAUUAUGAGAUCAAAUGAAGCAAAAGGUGUUCCAAAGUCGAUAUGUAAGCUUCUUUGAAGAUUAUAAUAUUGAAUAUAUAAAGAAGGUUGUAGUGGUAAAAAAUUUUGCAAAAGUAUUUGAAGAUUAUGACCAAGUCGUCCAUCAUGAGUACCAUGAUGGAUGGGGAGAAGUGUAAGAAGAAAGGGUUGAAGAUGAUGUAAAUUUAUCUACAAGAUAAAAAGAGGACUAAGGAAGAGAGCUACCUCUAGCAUAGCCUCAUCUUAUAAGGUCUAGUAGAUAGUAUCAACCUAUGCGAAUGUAUCCACAAGAAGAGUAUAUUAUAUUUCGUGAAUCCAGUUAAACCACAAAAUUACUACGGCAUUAAAAAGUAAGCAUAUUAAAACAUGAUUGGUAGUUACAUAUGAAGAAAUAAAAGUAUUGUAAAAAAUUAGAUAUAUGAUCUUGUGGAGUUAAGGAGAAGAAAGCAUUAAAGAAUAAGUGGAUUUUCAAGUUGAAGACCCAAGAAUAUACUUUAGUGCUAAAAUAUAAGGCUAGAUUGGUUGUCAAAGGCCUCAAUCAAGUGUAAGGUAUAGACUUUGAUGAAAUAUUAUCUCAUGUUGUGAAAAUAUCUUUUAUUUGUGUUGCUUUAAGUAUGAUUGUUAGUAUGAACUUGAAGGUCAAACAACUAAAUGUAAAGAUAACAUUUUUUCAUAGUGUUUUAGAGAAGGAGAUUUACAUUGAACAACUAGAAGGCUUCAGGAUAUAAGGAAAAGAAUAUAUGGUGUGUAAAUUGAUGAAGAGCUUAUAUAGACUAAAACAAGUGCCAAGACAAUGGUACAAAAAGUUUGAUUUAUUUAUGAUUGGAAAUGGUUACAAACGUACUUCUACAAACUAUUAUGUAUACAUCAAAAAGUUUGAUCAGAGUUUUGUGAUUAUCUUAUUAUAUGUUGAUGAUAUGCUUAUCUUUAAGAAAGAUUUACCAACAAUCAAUAAGUUGAAGGAGUUAAAUAAGUCAUUUGCUAUUAUGUAUAUGGGGCCAACAAAGUAGAUACUUAGUAUGUAGAUCUUUCGUGACAGAAAGACCAAAAAUAUUUAGUUGUCAUAAGAAAAAUAUGUAGAAAAGAUACUAAAUAGGUUUGGUAUGAGUUAUAUAAAACUUAUUGAUUCUACUUUGACAAAUCACUUUAAACUUUAUGUACAACAAAGUCCGUUAAGUGAUGAGGCGAAUGAGAAGAUGAAGAAAGUAUUUUAUGCAUUAGUCGUUGAGAGUUUGAUACAUGCAAUAGUAUGUAGAAGACCAUACAUCAUAUAUGUAGUGGGUGUUGUUAGUAGAUUUCUUACAAAUCUAAGAAAGGAGCAUUGGGCAGCAGUCUAGGUUGUCUAAGUUAUCUUAAAAAGAAUAUUUAGAUACCUUAAAAGGAACUCUAAAAUUUGUCUAAGCUUUAGAGAUUGUGCUCCUAUAUUAGCAAGUUAUAUAAAUAUUGACAUAACCAGAGAUGUUGACACACAAAAGUUUACUUCAUGCUAUGUGAUUACUUUUGCAAAGAGAGUUGUGUCAUGCCAGUUCAAGUUGUAAAAAUAUGUUGUUUUGUCAACUAUAGAAGUUGAAUAUAAUAUUGUCACAGAAGUUUGUAAAGAAAUGUUAUGGAUGAAAGAAUUAUCAUAAGAAUUAAAACUAAUGUAAGAAGAAUAUGUAAUCUUUUGUGAUAGUCAAAAUACUAUUCAUUUAAGUAAAAAUCUUACAUUUUGUUCGAAGACAGCAUAUCGAUGUGUGUUACCAUUGGAUUAGAAAUGCAAUCAAAAAGAAAUAUUUAUAGAUCAAGAAAAUUCACACAAAAGACAAUGGAGCAAAUAUGUUGAUGAAAAUUAUGUCAAAAGAGAGGCAAGAGAUUUGUUGAAAACUAAUCGACAUGCACGCUCCUUGAGAAGUACGAUGACGAUCUCUCUCAUGAGUCGAGGGAGGAGGUUGUUGGGCACGUGGCUCAUAAAGUGGCCAUGUCCAUGUCAACUCAUAGGGUAGCAGAGAAGAUCACAUUUAAUGCAGAGAAGGAGGAGAGGGAGAGAAGAUGAGACAUUUGAAAUGGGCCAAGAUGUAGAUUGUUUUUCUAGCCCCUCAACAGUUUGAUAAUGGGCAAGUCAAACUAGAAAGGAGAACAGUUCAAUUGAAUCAUUUUAGUUUCACAGAGUAAAUGAUUUGUACAUUUCUUGAGAAGUCAUUGACACAUUUCUCGAUGCAACUUAACAAGGUCUAUAAAUAGAGGCCACCUCUUCUCAUUUUAUAGCACUAGUGACCAAAGGGUACUAGAGAGGGUUUUUAAUAGAGUGAUCUUUACUUGUUGGUGAGGGAUUAACAAAUCCUUCAAGGGCCAAAAUUAGAAACCUAUAUUCUAAGUUUUAAGAAGUGAUUUUUUAUACUUCUAUUAUAUUUAGUGAAGAUUUUCAUUGCCAUCUGUAGACAUAGAAGGCCAACCUCUAAAUUACGUAAAUUCUUAUGUCUCAAGUUGUGAAUUAUUCAUUUCAUUUGUCUUUUAAUUUUCACGCCAAGUCCAUAUUAGGUUUUUAUCUCUAACAUAAGGAUCUUAGCAUUUUUCAUGCACAACUUUGCCUUGAUGUAGAUCACUUUUUACUUCUACCACUGCUGCUCACGAGGGACACAAGAGCCAGAGCUUCCCUCAAUACUCUUGUGGGUCCCACUAUCAUCCAUCACCACCAUGGCAUCAACAAGGAUGCCCUUGCCGACAGUCAGACAUCAGCUUUCUGUCCAAAGUUAGCACCCAUGAUGGGAAGUUGUCACAGGAUAGCAGCUUCCGCCCGCCCCCGCUCUCAAAACUAUGUCCAGUCAGCCCUCCUCGGGAGCUCGACGGGCUUGACAAGGGCAAGUGAGUUGCUGACAAGAUGAGUCAGUAUCUCGCAUCAC
rnacentral:lncRNA from 1 species